rnacentral:rRNA from 1 species
GCAUGUCCUACAACCGAUAACCCACGAUCAACCUCACCCGCCUUUGCAACAACAGUCUAUAUACCUCCGUCGCCAGCCCGCCUGAAAACAGGAACAAAGCGAGUGCAACAGCUCACCACUAAGACGACAGGUCAAGGUGUAACUAAUAGGCUGGGCAGAGAUGGGCUACAUUUCCUAACAUAGAAAAUACCUGCCCGCCAUGAAAUUUGCGCAAAAAGGUGGAUUUAGCAGUAAAUCAGGCAAGAAAAGCCUGCCUGAAAGCCGCCCUGAAAUGUGU